AUGACAUUGUGGUAGAUACUAAGUGAUGGGCAGGAUAGUGUUAGUUUGUUACAGACUAAAAAUAGUCCAGUGACAGUGUGAGUAAUAAUUAAAAAAAAAAAUUCUGCAAAGUAAUGAACAUGCUAGUUGUACUUCCUUUUUCACAUUUCCACACACAGAGUGAGAACAGUCUUUCUGCUGGGUUUGUGGUAUGUUGGUUUUGCUUCUGUUUCUAAUGUGAGGAGCUUUUUAAAAGAAGCUGAUCAGUAGCAGGAGCCAUUUCUGACUGUUAGCUGCUGGACAUAUGUGCAUGCCAUUUAAUAAAUACACACACUGAACAGUAAGGAGACAUGGAAGCUGUGCUGGGAUUAAUGGUGAUUCUCCUGGGACUGUCUCAUGGUGUGGAAACUCACUGUGAUGGCAGACAGGAUGGAACUCAGUGUUAUGGAGCUUUGGGAGGAACUGUGGACAUCCAGCUGAUGGACAGCACCUCAGAAAUAGCUGGAUACAACCUGUUAAAGAAUUCAUUAGUAAUACUAGUUGUCAGAAAUAAUAGUGUUAUUUUUAAUACCAUAGCACACAGGUCUCUCUUAUUUCCCAGUAAUGGAACAUUUAGGAUCAAUAACCUGAGCAGGAAUGACAGUGGUGAUUAUACCCUUCAAACCUUUGAGUCAGAUGGAAGAUCAUCAGGCAUGUGGACUUUACAGUUGUUUAUUCAAGCUCCUGUGUCCUCUGUCCUGCUGGUCUCUGAGUGUCUGUCCCAGGGAGAGAGGAAAGUGUCCUGCUCCUCUGAGGGAGGGGACAGUCCUCAGUACAGUUGGACUCUGGAUGGACGCACACUGACAGAUGCUGAGUUCCUUUCUGUAAAUAAUGAGGAUAACAUCAUUAUUCUGAAACAGCACAUCUCAGGACAUCUGGUCUGCUCAGUCAAGAACAACGUCAAUAGUGUCUCCAAAGAACAGAAGAUAUCUGCCUGUGGCUUCAUUUUCAUCAACUGCACCUCAAUCAAUGGGACACAAGUAUCAGGGUGGGUGUAUGAAGCCAAUAACACCCUGUGCAUUGAACCAAUAAGUGAACCUACCACAACCAC
ensembl:lncRNA